CCUACGGGUGGCAGCAGUGAGGAAUAUUGGUCAAUGGGCGCGAGCCUGAACCAGCCAAGUCGCGUGAGGGAAGACGGUCCUAUGGAUUGUAAACCUCUUUUGUCGGGGAGCAAAAGACGCCACGCGUAGCGUUCCGAGAGUACCCGAAGAAAAAGCAUAGGCUAACUCAGUGCCAGCAGCAGCGGUAAUAGGGGGGAUGAGAGCGUUAUCCGGAUUUAUUGGGGUUAACGGGUGAGCAGGCGGAAGAUAAAGUCAGCGGUAAAAUUGAGAGGCUCAACCUCUUCGAGCCGUUGAAACUGGUUUGCUUGAGUGAGUGAGAGGGAUGCGGAAUGCGUGGUGUAGCGGUGAAAUGCAUAGAGAUCACGCAGAACUCCGAUGGCGAAGGCAGCAUACCGGCGCUCAACUGACGCUCAUGUACGAAAGUGUGGGUAGCGAACAGGAUUAGAUACCCCUGUAGUC
rnacentral:rRNA from 1 species